ACAUCGGUAGCACAGUGGUUAGUGCAGUCUGCCGGAAACAGAAGGAUGCGGGUUCAAUUUCCGUCCGACGUC
rnacentral:tRNA from 1 species